rnacentral:rRNA from 1 species
GAAUUGACGGGGGCCCGCCCAAGCGGUGGAGCAUGUGGUUUAAUUCGAUGCAACGCGAAGAACCUUACCUACUCUUGACAUCCAGAGAACUUAGCAGAGAUGCUUUGGUGCCUUCGGGAACUCUGAGACAGGUGCUGCAUGGCUGUCGUCAGCUCGUGUUGUGAAAUGUUGGGUUAAGUCCCGCAACGAGCGCAACCCUUAUCCUUUGUUGCCAGCGAUUCGGUCGGGAACUCAAAGGAGACUGCCGGUGAUAAACCGGAGGAAGGUGGGGAUGACGUCAAGUCAUCAUGGCCCUUACGAGUAGGGCUACACACGUGCUACAAUGGCGUAUACAAAGAGAAGCGACCUCGCGAGAGCAAGCGGAACUC